rnacentral:tRNA from 1 species
GGCCGGGUGGCGAAAUGGUAUCGCGUCAGAUUUCGGCUCUGAAGAUUGUGGGUUCGAAUCCCAUCUCGGUCG